AUGCACUCCUCGCAGCCGCCACCUACCUCCCGCCCCGAUUCAGCCGAUCUCGCCGCCAGUGCCCGCGCGCCACCACCCGCUCCUCCUCGCCUUCCAGAUCGCGCCGCCACCUCCCUCCCCAUCCCCUCCUGGAUCUCUCCCUCGGUGAGCCACCGGCGAGCCCCUCUGCUGCCCGCGCAUGCAGAACCUCGCCUCCUGCUGCUCUCCAUCGACCCCUUCCGCGUGCUCGCCGUCAUCGCCUCCCUUCGCCGCAUCGACCCCAAGGUGCUGGCGCAGGCGACCAGGAAGCUGUUCCAGGGUGAGCCGAUGAAGAGGCGGAAGGGAAUUUGGAUCGAUAUCAACAACUACGAGGAGAGCGAGAGGGGCAUCGUGGUGGCCAGCAAAGGGAGCACCAUCACGGGAGCUGCGUCCUCCCGGUCCACGGCCACGUCGGGGAGAUGCCGCCGACCUCCGCUGGCGAGCGACGGCUAUGAGAGUCUGGUGCGGAGGGCGGACUCGAUCAUGAAGUCGCUCUCGUGGUCCAAGGCGGCGCCGGUCACGGAGACGGCCAUCCGCGCCCCCGUCGGCGACAACGCUGUAACUAGCAAGGCUCUGCGCUGGUUGCUGAAGCAGAAGAGAGGGUUGCGUCGUGCGGGCACUGGUGGCCGCCCGGAUCCGUAUGUGUACAUGGCGCCGCCGGAUUCGAGGGUGGAGCCCGAGCCUCCACUGGAGCAUGGAUCAGACGUGCAGGAGGUGGAGCUCCGCAUGGAUCAAGACGUGGUCGUCGUGGGGGCCUGGAUCAUCAAGUACGCAAGCGGCGUCGGGGGCGGUGCAAUGCCAGCUGCUGGACAUACUUCACCCUGGGUUGGUGCUGAUGCACAAGGUGAAUUUCGAUGCCAAGACGGAGUACGACAUGAUCCAGAACUACAGGAUUCUCCUGGAUGUGUUCAACAAGUUGCAGAUAGGCAAGGUAUGGGUGGUGAUUCUCCUGGCUUAGGUCUCUACCCGUGGAUUUAUCCGUGA
rnacentral:rRNA from 1 species